CCUACGGGUGGCAGCAGUGAGGAAUAUUGGUCAAUGGGAGAGAUCCUGAACCAGCCAAGCCGCGUGAGGGAAGACGGCCCUAUGGGUUGUAAACCUCUUUUGUCGGAGAACAAAACCCGGGACGUGUCCCGGACAGCGUGUAUCCGAAGAAAAAGCAUCGGCUAACUCCGUGCCAGCAGCCGAGGGAAUACGGAGGAUGCGAGCGUUAUCCGGAUUUAUUGGGUUAAAGGGGUGCGUGGGGGGUCCGUUAAGUCAGCGGUAAAAUUGCGGGGCUCAACCCCGUCGAGCCGUUGAAACUGGCAGACUUGAGUUGGCGAGAAGUACGCGGAAUGCGCGGUGUAGCGGUGAAAUGCGUAGAUAUUAGGAGGAACACCAGUUGCGAAGGCGGCUCUCUGGACUGUAACUGACACUGAGGCACGAAAGCGUGGGGAGCAAACAGGAUUAGAUACCCCAGUAGUC
rnacentral:rRNA from 1 species